rnacentral:tRNA from 1 species
CGGGAUGUAGGUCAAUCUGGUAGACCACUCGCUUUGGGAGCGAGGAGUUGAGAGUUCGAAUCUCUCCAUCCCGACCA